UACGGAGGGCGCUAGCGUUGUUCGGAAUUACUGGGCGUAAAGCGUACGUAGGCGGUUAUUUAAGUCAGAGGUGAAAGCCCGGGGCUCAACCCCGGAACUGCCUUUGAAACUAGAUAGCUAGAAUCUUGGAGAGGUCAGUGGAAUUCCGAGUGUAGAGGUGAAAUUCGUAGAUAUUCGGAAGAACACCAGUGGCGAAGGCGACUGACUGGACAAGUAUUGACGCUGAGGUACGAAAGCGUGGGGAGCAAACAGG
rnacentral:rRNA from 1 species